rnacentral:rRNA from 1 species
GACGAACGCUGGCGGCGUGCUUAACACAUGCAAGUCGAACGGAAAGGGCCUGCGUUUUUGGUGGGUUCGGGUGGCGAACGGGUGGGUAAGACGUGAGUAACCUGCCCUUGACUUUGGUAUAACUUCAGGAAACUGGGGCUAGUACCUGAUAGGUGCUCCUCCUCCAUUGUGUGGGUUGGGAAGGUUCGGCGGUUGGGGGGGGAGGCGCGGCUUGUCAGCUUGUUGGUGGGGUGGUGGCUUACCAAGGCUUUGAAGGGUAGCCGGCCUGAGAGGGUGACCGGCAACAUUGGGACUGAGAUACGGCCCAGAAUCGUAGGGGAGGCAGCAGUGGGGAAUAUUGCACAAUGGGCGGAAGCCUGAUGCAGCAACGCCGCGUGCGGGAUGACGGCCUUCGGGUUGUAAACCGCUUUCGCCUGUGACGAAGCGUGAGUGACGGUAAUGGGUAAAGAAGCACCGGCUAACUACGUG